UUUAAAUUGCUGUGGUAUUUUGACUAUACAAAGGUAUUGAAAUAAGAUUUUAAUUGAAUGCUAAGAGAAUGGAAGUCCAGAAAAAAACUUUUUUUAAAUUAAAAAUUGAAGUUUUUUUAAUUUGUGCAGAAACAAUUAUUUAUAUUAAAGACAAGAAGACCCUAUGAAUUUAUUAAAUUUUUAUUUAAUAUGUAAUUACUAUUAGAAAAAUUUUGGCUGGGGCGGCUAGAAAAUAUUAUGAACUUUUUAAAAAUAAAAUGAUCCAUUAUUAAUGAUUUUAUGUUAAAUCGUCUAGGGAUAACAGCGUUAUAUUUU
rnacentral:rRNA from 1 species